GGGUAACCUGCGGAAGGAUCAUUAC
rnacentral:rRNA from 1 species